rnacentral:sRNA from 1 species
AUGGAUGAUGCAUGGCUUGAGCAUCUACAUGGUUCUUGAGAGUAAAGCAGAAUGAGGAUGGAGGGUGAAAGUUGAGCUCCUCCUCAAGAUGCAUUCAGUUUUGUGGUGCCUUUCCUGAUCUCCCUGGUGGUCAGCUAAGGUACGCAUAAACCGGCAAGUCACAAGACGGCAAUGGCGAACUCCAUCUGGAUUAU